rnacentral:sRNA from 1 species
CUCGUUUCUCUUUAUUACAACAACCUAUCUCCUUCUUCACUAAAACUCAAGCUACACAAUCUCUAUUUCCUUGUGCUUUUCCUUUGCUCUCUAGGCUUUCUCAGAGGUCUUGUUCCAUAGACAUUUUGGCAUUCUGUCCACCUCCGUUAUAAUGUCUACAAACAUGAUUUUGGAGGUGGUCAGCAUGCCAAACGGGCUCUGUGUAUCUGUCUCUGAGAAACCUUAUUUGAGAACUCAACGUGGUUCUCAUUAAUCAGACACACAAGCUUUGAUGAAAGCACCCACUGAAGACACAACACUAACUGGCAACACAACACCAACGGAAGUCUGAUACCACUUGUUGAAUCU